UACGUAGGCAGCAAGCGUUGUUCGGAGUUACUGGGCGUAAAGGGUGUGUAGGCGGUUGUUUUAAGUUUGGUGUGAAAUCUCCCCGGCUCAACCAGGAGGGUGCGCCGAAUACUGAAUGACUUGGAGUGGCGGGAGAGGAAAGUGGAAUUCCUGGUGUAGCGGUGAAAUGCGUAGAUAUCAGGAGGAACACCGGUGGUGUAGACGGCUUUCUGGACCGUAACUGACGCUGAGACACGAAAGCGUGGGUAGCAAACAGG
rnacentral:rRNA from 1 species